UCUUUUCAGGUCAGAUUGCAUGACACAGCUUCUAGAUGAGCGUAAUCUAGGGGUUUUAACACAGUUUCAAAUAACCAUGAAGCAUAUUGGAGUAGUUUUCCAAAGUGUGUUAAAAUUUUAGAGAGGCUUGCUAGGAACCAGGAUGUUCCACAAGAAUACACCUACUACAGGAUCCCAUCACCAUGGCUUCAGAGUAUUGUAGGUUCUAGUUCAUGGUUGGACAGAGGCUACAGAGCAUUUGAAAGAGUACUGGUCAAAAAAUGUUUGCCCUCAUGUAUAUGCUUCCCAGAUCGAAGGGACAAUUGAUGUCAAAUCAGAUUUGUGUGCCUAUAGGGUAUCAGUAGGGAUGUCCUUAAGUUUUUUGUGGACAAGUAAUGGUUGAAUAUGCCAACUUGAAUUCUUAUAAUGCAGUCCUUAAGUUCUUUCAGACAGUCCUUAAUGGGCAACCAGAGACGAUACUUUCAGAUAUUUGCUAACAGUCUUCCUUUAUCCCAUCCAAGCUUUUCCUCUUAUUUAUUUAUUUUUGUCUUCUAUUGAUGUCAGUUGUAGAAUCAGAGUCCACCUCAAGGCUAGGGAGUCUGAAUUUCAACUUCCAGUCUCAAAUGUUGGACAUCUUGGACACUUGAGACUUCAGGUUUUUUGAUCUUGAUUUCCUCUUUUUGCUCUGUUCCUAAUUCCUAUUUGGGAAUUGAUGUGUACACCCAUCUUGGCAAUGUGAUUUCUUUAGUUUCUUGCGGUUUCUUUUGUUCAUGUAAGAGAUCAAUAUGAUUCAGAGACUUGAAAAUUAGACAGAAGAGGACAUUACCCAUAAAUGUGCUAAUGUGGUACACCUUCAAGAUCCAGGUCAUUCAACAAGUGGGAUGCAUUGUUGACAUACCCAGGCCAACAAAUCAGGCCCAUUCACUCAUUAGGUGGGUCACAUUUGAAAAUUGGAUAGACCGAUCACCAUCUCUUUUCUAAUCUCUUCUUCUUUGCAUAUUGUUUGUUUCAGCCUCUAUUGUUUGGAAUGGCAUUGUUUUAAUUGUUUUUAUAAUUGGGGCUUUUUGUUUUACUAUUUUCGUAAUGUAUGAUUUAUCAGUGAGGAAGAAGCAAAGAAGAAGAUCUAUAAUGUUUCUUAUGAUAGAUAUUUUGGUUUUGUAUGUGAGAUUGAUGAGGAGACCUCAAAUAAGCUAGAAGGAUGGUAUCAAGUGGUUUUAGAUUUAUGAUGAAAUUGUUUUCUGGUAAAUAUUUUUGCAAAUUGUACCUUAAAAAAAUAUUUUCCUGAUUUUAUCCUUCUCUCUACAGGUCUUCUUGGCAUCCUAUUUUUGCUGAGAUCAAGGACUAUGGAGGUUGAGGUUUCUCUGAGAGAUCUUAUACUCUCAGAUUAUGCCAAGAAGAAUAAUGUAAACACCUCGGCACUGACACAGUCUAAAAUUCAUGGUAUAAUACUGGGGGUUGAGAUAACUCCACCUUCACAACAGAGGCAACAGAUUAUGGAGAUUGAGA